rnacentral:rRNA from 1 species
GACGAACGCUGGCGGCGUGCUUAACACAUGCAAGUCGAACGGAAAGGCCUCUUUCGGGGGGUACUCGAGUGGCGAACGGGUGAGUAACACGUGAGUAACCUGCCCUUGACUUUGGGAUAACUUCAGGAAACUGGGGCUAAUACCGGAUAGGAGCUCCUGCUGCAUGGUGGGGGUUGGAAAGUUUCGGCGGUUGGGGAUGGACUCGCGGCUUAUCAGCUUGUUGGUGGGGUAGUGGUUUACCAAGGCUUUGACGGGUAGCCGGCCUGAGAGGGUGACCGGCCACAUUGAGACUGAGAUACGGCCCAGACUCCGACGGGAGGAAGCAGUGGGGAAGAUUGCACAAUGGGUGGAAGCCUGAUGCAGCAGCGCCGUGUGCGGGAUGACGGCCUUCGGGUUGUAAACCGCAUUCGCUCAUGACGAAGCUUUGUGUGACGGUAGUGGGUAAAGAAGCACCGGCUAACUACGUG